GAGAACUGGUGGUCAGGGGCAGAUUACCAAAUAGCUUUCUCCAGGGGUGACAAGGGUUUCAUUGCCCUGAAUCUGGAAGGUUUUGACGUAAACCAGAACUUACAGACUGGUCUCCCAGCUGGAAGGUACUGUGACGUCAUCAGCGGUGACAUUGAGAAUGACAGAUGCACGGGCAAGACGGUAGAGGUGUACAACGACGGUACCGCCCAUAUCAAUGUGUGCUCAAACUGUGACGACCCGGUGCUGGCCAUUCACGUUGGCGCUAAGAUUGGAUCACCCCCAAGACGCUUUUAAACCCAACACAGAAGUUUUCAAGUAGAAACCCAUCAAUUUUUAUUAAUUUAUUUUAUUCAUUGAUGUAUUAUUU
rnacentral:sRNA from 1 species